UACGGAGGGGGCUAGCGUUGUUCGGAAUUACUGGGCGUAAAGCGCACGUAGGCGGCUUUGCAAGUUAGAGGUGAAAGCCCGGGGCUCAACUCCGGAAUUGCCUUUAAAACUGCAUCGCUAGAAUUGUGGAGAGGUAAGUGGAAUUCCGAGUGUAGAGGUGAAAUUCGUAGAUAUUCGGAAGAACACCAGUGGCGAAGGCGGUCUCCUGGGGCAUUCUUGACGCUGAGGCGCGAAAGCUGGGGGAGCGAACGGG
rnacentral:rRNA from 1 species